GAAAAAAUGCCUUUGCCCUAGCUCCUAUUGCAGAAGAAGGGUAUAUAGGACACGUGAAACAUUGCAUAGAGCAUGGUCUCUGGUCAUGUCUUGCUUAGUCUUGCUAAAUUAUCUUUUCCUCCCUCUUAUUGUUUUCUUUGUAAUAAGGAGCGGCUGUCUGGCACAGAGAGGAGCAGAGAUGUGUCUGGAAAUGAAGUUAGGAGAAAUGCGAGGCAAACAAGGUAUGCUGGAAACAACAUUGGAUCUCCAUGACAAACAAGGGACCUAUAUUCUAAGGGGAAUUUGAGAUAGAAGGAGGUAGCUACUGUAUUGCAGAAGAAGAAGAAGAAGAAGAAGAAGAAGAAGAAGAAGAAGAAGAAGAAGAAAAGAGGGUCAUUGAUGCAUUUUUAAUGCACAUAAGAGAAUAAAAGGAAAUGAGACAAACAAGACAGCUUUUGAGAGUAACAUGUUGAGUUUAUUAUAUACUUCAAAGAAAGAAAGCUAUAAGAGACUCAUGGUUUCACAUGUCAUCUAUUAAAUGAGAUAAUAAUUGUAAAGCACUCAGCACUGUGCCUGGAACAUAGUAAGCACUAUA